UACGGAGGGUGCAAACGUUGCUCGGAAUCAUUGGGCGUAAAGCGCACGUAGGCGGCCUGAUAAGUCGGGUGUGAAAGCCCGGGGCUCACCCCCGGAAGUGCAUUGGAAACUGAUGGACUAGAGUCCCGGAGAGGAGAGUGGAAUUCCUGGUGUAGCGGUGAAAUGCGUAGAUAUCAGGAGGAACACCGGUGGCGAAGGCGGCUCUCUGGACGGUGACUGACGCUGAGACGCGAAAGCGUGGGGAGCAAACAGG
rnacentral:rRNA from 1 species